GUUCCCUUGCCUUCAUUUUCCAGGGGUUCCUCCUCCCAUGAAUGGGCAGUGAAAGUUUCAUCCUGGACCCAUCCUGUCUCCAUGAUGGCUUUGGGGACCUGCCUUGCCCCAUUGUUUUGUCUGUGGGACUGGCAACUUUGACCAUGAGAGGCAGACUCCCUCUAACUGGAGGCUGACAAGUGGAAACUGUUGGGAUUAUUCCCAGAGGCCUUACAUGGGGGCGGCUCAGCUUGAUGAAUUCUGAGGCAUGAUCCAAAUCUGCCUCCUAGGCCCAGAACAUCAAUCUCCAAGGUCCCAGGGCUGCUGGGGCUCUAGGAAGCCAUCCUCUGCUGCUCCUGGUGUGCCCCUAGGACUGGCUGAGGUUGGGAAGGCCUCCCCUUGCUGGACUAGAGGACAAAGUGAUUCAUCUUGAUCCCUGUGAAAUGGUUGUGCAACCCCAAGAGGCUGAGACUCAUCAAAUAAUGUGCCUCUUUAUUUUCUGUUCAUUACAUUGUCAGGCACAAUCCAGACAAGACAUCUCAGCACUGCUUCCAGACCUCUGCUUGAAGCUGCACAUCUGCACCAUAGUGUAGCUCCCUGUCCCCGGAUGACCGACUGGAACUAGGUUUCUCCAUCCCCAAUAGGCCUCACUGUGUCUCAUCACACCAAAGUAUUUUUUAAAAGGCUUAAUGAAGACACCAUCCUCUGUAUCAUCCCCCGGGAAGGCUGAGCAGGUUGCGCACCAUAAAUACACUUCAACGUUCCUAUCUGCCUAAGCCUUGGAUCCCCUCCUCUGUAAUAUAGCAAGGUUUCCAACAUUAUAAAUUGGCAAAGGUCUUGCAAUUGUUUGGAUGCCUCCUCCCAGAUCAGUUUUGGUCGUCAUUACCCGAGGGUCUGCCAGGAUGUUAUGGUUCUGAAAAUAAUAAAAGCUGGGAGUAAAAUCAACAGUCCGCUCAAGGCAGCAGCCUCAGUAUGGUCAGAAAAAUCCAGCCCAUUCUACAAGAAGAAUCUAAUAUAAGAAUCUUACAACGUUCUGUUACAACAGCUACUUGAUGUCCCAAGGCCUUGCUUGCCAUAGGCAGCUGACCCCAGGCAAUUACAGAUUCUAAUUUAGGUAACUGAUUUGUCAAAGCACGUCAUGAACGGCUAGCAUCUCACUUUCCACUGGCAAUGAAGUCGCUGUGGCCUUCAAAUCUAAAAAGAUGAAAGGAACAAUUCCAGAUUCCUAUAUUCACAUAUUUGUUCUCCAAAAACCCCUUUUAAAACCAAAACAACUGUGGAAAGAGCAUGCAGAGCAAAAGCCAGGGAAGCCACCAGUGGGUGGGAGAAGCUGUCACUAACGGGCAAGGAUGACUUUCAAGAGCUCCCAAGGGAGGGGCUGGGCAUCUCACUUGCCCCACACUUGGCUACUGGCACCUUCAGAAGACAGUGUCCUCUCCUUCUCUCCUGACUUCUAGAUCUUUCUCUAGAGCCUCUCACUGGGGAACAAAGCAAGAACCACACAAGGAAGGGGCUUCUGGGAAGUCUCUGCCAACCAGAGGAAAGCUUCGAAGGGAAUGGUGGUGACAGGGAAUUGACACAGACAAUCCCGUAUAGCGAGAUGGUUUCUCUUGUAGCUGUUUCACUUUGAAGACGCCGACAGACCCACACCCUCUGAGUGCUAACAGUAGUCUUAAAAGCGUCAUGGAAGGCCGGACAUGGUGACUCAUGCCUGUAAUCCCAGCACUCUGGGAGGCCGAGGCUGGUA